rnacentral:rRNA from 1 species
GGGUUGUGAGGUUAAGCGACUAAGCGUACACGGUGGAUGCCCUGGCAGUCAGAGGCGAUGAAGGACGUGCUAAUCUGCGAUAAGCGUCGGUAAGGUGAUAUGAACCGUUAUAACCGGCGAUUUCCGAAUGGGGAAACCCAGUGUGUUUCGACACACUAUCAUUAACUGAAUCCAUAGGUUAAUGAGGCGAACCGGGGGAACUGAAACAUCUAAGUACCCCGAGGAAAAGAAAUCAACCGAGAUUCCCCCAGUAGCGGCGAGCGAACGGGGAGCAGCCCAGAGCCUGAAUCAGUGUGUGUGUUAGUGGAAGCGUCUGGAAAGGCGCGCGAUACAGGGUGACAGCCCCGUACACAAAAAUGCACAUGCUGUGAGCUCGAUGAGUAGGGCGGGACACGUGGUAUCCUGUCUGAAUAUGGGGGGACCAUCCUCCAAGGCUAAAUACUCCUGACUGACCGAUAGUGAACCAGUACCGUGAGGGAAAGGCGAAAAGAACCCCGGCGAGGGGAGUGAAAAAGAACCUGAAACCGUGUACGUACAAGCAGUGGGAGCACGCUUAGGCGUGUGACUGCGUACCUUUUGUAUAAUGGGUCAGCGACUUAUAUUCUGUAGCAAGGUUAACCGAAUAGGGGAGCCGAAGGGAAACCGAGUCUUAACUGGGCGUUAAGUUGCAGGGUAUAGACCCGAAACCCGGUGAUCUAGCCAUGGGCAGGUUGAAGGUUGGGUAACACUAACUGGAGGACCGAACCGACUAAUGUUGAAAAAUUAGCGGAUGACUUGUGGCUGGGGGUGAAAGGCCAAUCAAACCGGGAGAUAGCUGGUUCUCCCCGAAAGCUAUUUAGGUAGCGCCUCGUGAAUUCAUCUCCGGGGGUAGAGCACUGUUUCGGCAAGGGGGUCAUCCCGACUUACCAACCCGAUGCAAACUGCGAAUACCGGAGAAUGUUAUCACGGGAGACACACGGCGGGUGCUAACGUCCGUCGUGAAGAGGGAAACAACCCAGACCGCCAGCUAAGGUCCCAAAGUCAUGGUUAAGUGGGAAACGAUGUGGGAAGGCCCAGACAGCCAGGAUGUUGGCUUAGAAGCAGCCAUCAUUUAAAGAAAGCGUAAUAGCUCACUGGUCGAGUCGGCCUGCGCGGAAGAUGUAACGGGGCUAAACCAUGCACCGAAGCUGCGGCAGCGACGCUUAUGCGUUGUUGGGUAGGGGAGCGUUCUGUAAGCCUGUGAAGGUGUACUGUGAGGUAUGCUGGAGGUAUCAGAAGUGCGAAUGCUGACAUAAGUAACGAUAAAGCGGGUGAAAAGCCCGCUCGCCGGAAGACCAAGGGUUCCUGUCCAACGUUAAUCGGGGCAGGGUGAGUCGACCCCUAAGGCGAGGCCGAAAGGCGUAGUCGAUGGGAAACAGGUUAAUAUUCCUGUACUUGGUGUUACUGCGAAGGGGGGACGGAGAAGGCUAUGUUGGCCGGGCGACGGUUGUCCCGGUUUAAGCGUGUAGGCUGGUUUUCCAGGCAAAUCCGGAAAAUCAAGGCUGAGGCGUGAUGACGAGGCACUACGGUGCUGAAGCAACAAAUGCCCUGCUUCCAGGAAAAGCCUCUAAGCAUCAGGUAACAUCAAAUCGUACCCCAAACCGACACAGGUGGUCAGGUAGAGAAUACCAAGGCGCUUGAGAGAACUCGGGUGAAGGAACUAGGCAAAAUGGUGCCGUAACUUCGGGAGAAGGCACGCUGAUAUGUAGGUGAAGCGACUUGCUCGUGGAGCUGAAAUCAGUCGAAGAUACCAGCUGGCUGCAACUGUUUAUUAAAAACACAGCACUGUGCAAACACGAAAGUGGACGUAUACGGUGUGACGCCUGCCCGGUGCCGGAAGGUUAAUUGAUGGGGUCAGCGCAAGCGAAGCUCUUGAUCGAAGCCCCGGUAAACGGCGGCCGUAACUAUAACGGUCCUAAGGUAGCGAAAUUCCUUGUCGGGUAAGUUCCGACCUGCACGAAUGGCGUAAUGAUGGCCAGGCUGUCUCCACCCGAGACUCAGUGAAAUUGAACUCGCUGUGAAGAUGCAGUGUACCCGCGGCAAGACGGAAAGACCCCGUGAACCUUUACUAUAGCUUGACACUGAACAUUGAGCCUUGAUGUGUAGGAUAGGUGGGAGGCUUAGAAGUGUGGACGCCAGUCUGCAUGGAGCCGACCUUGAAAUACCACCCUUUAAUGUUUGAUGUUCUAACGUUGACCCGUAAUCCGGGUUGCGGACAGUGUCUGGUGGGUAGUUUGACUGGGGCGGUCUCCUCCUAAAGAGUAACGGAGGAGCACGAAGGUUGGCUAAUCCUGGUCGGACAUCAGGAGGUUAGUGCAAUGGCAUAAGCCAGCUUGACUGCGAGCGUGACGGCGCGAGCAGGUGCGAAAGCAGGUCAUAGUGAUCCGGUGGUUCUGAAUGGAAGGGCCAUCGCUCAACGGAUAAAAGGUACUCCGGGGAUAACAGGCUGAUACCGCCCAAGAGUUCAUAUCGACGGCGGUGUUUGGCACCUCGAUGUCGGCUCAUCACAUCCUGGGGCUGAAGUAGGUCCCAAGGGUAUGGCUGUUCGCCAUUUAAAGUGGUACGCGAGCUGGGUUUAGAACGUCGUGAGACAGUUCGGUCCCUAUCUGCCGUGGGCGCUGGAGAACUGAGGGGGGCUGCUCCUAGUACGAGAGGACCGGAGUGGACGCAUCACUGGUGUUCGGGUUGUCAUGCCAAUGGCACUGCCCGGUAGCUAAAUGCGGAAGAGAUAAGUGCUGAAAGCAUCUAAGCACGAAACUUGCCCCGAGAUGAGUUCUCCCUGACCCUUUAAGGGUCCUGAAGGAACGUUGAAGACGACGACGUUGAUAGGCCGGGUGUGUAAGCGCAGCGAUGCGUUGAGCUAACCGGUACUAAUGAACCGUGAGGCUUAACCUUACAACGCCGAAGCUGUU